UGAUGGAAACAGAAAGUUGACUGCAAAUCAGCACACUUUGAAUCAUGGACAUGAAAGAAAGGCUGUGUUUGGAAAUGCACACUACUAUACUAUUCUUACUAUUUCUACUGUAUACAUUAUGCAUACUGAACACAGUAUGUGAAUUUUCUAUAUGCAUGAAAUACAUGGAUGACCUUCUAUUUCUAUUGUCAAAAGAACCAGAAAUAAUAUCAACUGCAUUUGUAACAACUUUCAUUUGAUCAGGCAGCCAAAAUGUAAUACAUUUUAACAAAAAAAAAUUGGAAAUAAGCAUAUUUAUUCCUUAAAUACUUUAAAUAUACAAUUUAAUCAUGUGAGAAAAACGUAGCUUAUUACUGAUCAAAACCUAUUGCAUAAUGUAUUGUUUCACAUAUUAGAGUAUAGCUAGUAUACUAGUUUUCCAUUCUGAACACAGCCAACACAGGGAUACGAACAUCAGGAAUCAAGAUCAUCACACUCUCUCAGGAUUCUUAACAAAGACCAAGACCACUAAAUAUCCAUGUCAUGGGCCGCAGAUGGAUGUUCUUCAGGAAUCCAGUGAACAGGACAGAACUGUGUUCCUCGUGUUCUGCUGAGCUCCAGAAACAGGAAGCAGCAGAGCUCCUCACUUCCUGUGGCCGAACAUACAGCUGCUUGACCACACAGGGAGAAAAGAAUCCAGGGGAUUUUCUUUA